CGCAUCUGUGCAUGCAGCAUAUCAAUAAGCGGAGGAAAAGAAACUAACAAGGAUUCCCCUAGUAACGGCGAGUGAAGCGGGAAGAGCUCAAAUUUGAAAUCUUAAAGGGUUUCCCUUUACGAAUUGUAGUUUAAAGAAGUGUUUUCUGUUGAGGUUUUGGUAAAAGUUCUUUGGAAUAGGACAUCAUAGAGGGUGAGAAUCCCGUAUUUGACCUUUACUUUCAACUUUGUGAUACACUUUCAAAGAGUCGGAUUGUUUGGGAAUGCAGUCCAAAAUGGGUGGUAAAUUUCAUCUAAAGCUAAAUAUUGGCGAGAGACCGAUAGCGAACAAGUACCGUGAGGGAAAGAUGAAAAGAACUUUGAAAAGAGAGUUAAGCAGUACGUGAAAUUGUCAAAAGGGAAGCGUUUGACACCAGUGUUGUUUUUCUGAAAAUCAAUUAAAGAACUGUUUAUGCUAAGUUGUUUAGACUUUAUCAGCUAACUGUUUAGUUUUGAGCUUUUCUUUAAUGCACUUUUCAGUUAACAAGUCAACAUCAAUUUCUUUUGCUGUAAAAAAGCUUGAGGAAGGUGGCUUGAGAUUCGUCUUAAGUGUUUAUAGCCUCUUGCCUAUGCAGUCGGAGAGAUUGAGGUCUGCAGCGUAGAUCCUUCGGGGCUAAAUGCAUUUGUGCUAAGUUAUAGCAUUUUAUAGACAACUUGUUGACUAUGAUUUGUCUUGUAGCUUACUCGCUUAUGUUAUUUUACCUACGCUUAGGAUGUUGAAGAUGUAGCACAUCAU
rnacentral:rRNA from 1 species